AAAAACCUUUUAAUAUCUUUACAAUUUUAUCCUCUUCUCUUCUUUACAUGCCUACAUCACAUUGUCCUUGCAGCUUCCAAAAAUAAAACAGAUUUCGAAAUUCCAAAGUUGUUGCCACAAUGAAGAUAGAAAACAAACAAAAAAGUCUAAUGUCGAUAGUAGCAUCUUAGUUAAGCAAACAGAAUGAUGUAUUCGGAUAACCUUUCCGGUUCAGGAAACUCACACUACACUAAAUGCAGACUGUAUGGUAGAUGAGAAAUGAGAAGCAAUAGUCUGGGAGGCAAAUGCUUGAAUCUGCUUCUUGGCAUCUUUGCGACAUUUGGUGAACCCAAUAAUGUUUGCAAUGCUGAGGCUCAAACAAACUCCCACUACCAGGACAUAAUCAACCUCGAACCUUAUAAUUGAAAAUAUUCCAAGUACGAUCCAAGCAGCUGCAGUAAGGUAUAAUGUCCACCAAAAUAGCCAUGAAUCCUUCUUAUUCAUACGAGCCAACGACUGUUGAUCAAGACAUUCAAACUUCCAUACACUCUCACCCUCCUCAUUUAUCUCAUUCCACCACCUAAGCCCAACUAGGAUCCGGCCGCUCACAUUCUUCACCACCCAAAAAUCAAGGGCAGCAAGAACAACGGUUACCACAAAGAUAAUAACAAAGUUAUUAAAAAACAGAGCUGAGAGUAUGUAGAAUGCCAGAGCUGCAGCCUUGAAGAGCACAUGAAAGAAGCAUGUCUUUGGAUUGGCAUAGUUUUCGCCUGCAGGCUGGCUAAAAUCCAUGGAGAAGAGAUUUAUGAAAAAGAUUCCUAAGUCUCGCAGAUGUUUGGCGAGUUGAGCUAUAGGAUCAUUUGAGCUUCGCGAUUUCCAC
rnacentral:misc_RNA from 1 species